CACGUAGGGUGCGAGCGUUGUCCGGAAUUAUUGGGCGUAAAGAGCUCGUAGGCGGUGUGUCGCGUCGGCCGUGAAAACUUGCAGCUUAACUGUGGGCGUGCGGUCGAUACGGGCAUCACUGGAGUUCGGCAGGGGAGACUGGAAUUCCUGGUGUAGCGGUGAAAUGCGCAGAUAUCAGGAGGAACACCGGUGGCGAAGGCGAGUCUCUGGGCCGAUACUGACGCUGAGGAGCGAAAGCGUGGGGAGCGAACAGG
rnacentral:rRNA from 1 species